UGGACAGCCGUCGCAUCCAAUCCAGUCCGACGCGAGGACGAAAUGUCAAAGGCCGCACUUUCGCCAAAGGAUUUGCAGCCUCGACGUACUCGAGUUCGGAUCAAAGCUCAAACUCUCCUCUCCACGAUUUUCUCUUUUUGGGGAGAGGGAGAAGAAUAUGACAUGUUUAACAUGGUGCAUAUUUUGGGUCAUGAAAUCAUAUGGGGAAUUUGAUGCAGCCCGAGAUAUGUGGGAAGAAAUUUAGGGGGAGUAAAUUUCGAAAUAUGGUGAAAAUUAUCGAUUUGGGAUACAUAUUUUUUUUAAUUGGUCUUUUUAUCAAACAGAUCGACCGAAUUGUAGACGGACGGACGGGACAAACCAUUUCAAACCAUUUCAAACCGUUAAAACUCAUCUCAUAAAAAUGUACAGGGUCAAAAGUGGACAAAUAUUUUCAAGAAAAAUACUGACGGACGGAACGUCAACCCAGCCACAUAAGUCACUCCUAACCCCGAAAACAAGAGAUUUCAACAUGGCGAAGUAGAGCAGCCCAAGAAAAAAGAGAAAGCAAGUAUUAUUAUUCGCUCAAUACUUCAAAGACCUUCGGGCACUCUAUGAAAAUGGUAAAAGUGAACUCGUACUUUCGCCAGAAAAGAGAUGAUCUCCUCCUCUUUCGGGAUUAGAGAUCUCGCGGCGAUCCAGAUAAUAUGCCCACCAGAGAUUGAAUUACUGAUAGCGAACGAGCGAGAGGCUGACUUUCUACGGCGGGAAGAACAAUUUCCGUCCAAAGUGACGGACUGGCUUUCUCCAGGAGGAAAGAGAGAUGGACGUAAAAACCAAAUCGGGAUGAGAGAUCGGGAGGAAAAGCUGGAGGGCGUCUUGAUGGACGAAACGAUGACAUAACGAAGCGGGAUACUUUUCAUGGGGAAAUUUAAUGCGGAUUAAAAAUAGAGAUUUCUGGAUAAGCGGAGGAUAGUGCAUUAUAAGUAAUAUUGAGAUCGCUUUGAGGGGUCAAAGGGGUCAUUUUAUUAAUGGUGACAUGGGUCACAUAUGUGGGCCACGGAAGGGUUGUCACGUUAGUCAAAAUAUUUUGGAAAUUGUUCACAUAUUUUAUGAAUCAUUUUAAAAAUGGAUUCAAUGACAUGUUUGAUGACGGGUUUUUGGGGGUUUAUUCACAAUUUGAGAAUAUAAAUUGUAAGAAAAGUAA